ensembl:lncRNA
UACGUGGUUACAGAGAGUUUUAGAUACUCUUGUCUACAAGGAUCCUAUUUUGCCACCCUGAGCGACGAUGGAACACCUUGGUGGUGAGUAGUGUGUUUUAUUGUUGAUUACGUGUUUUAGUAAAACAAGCAUUAUACUUACAAGUAUAUAUUCAUUAAGGUUUCUCAACGAUAUGACAGUCCAGAGGGGGGUUAACCAUCUAAAGCAUCGAUGAGAAAGCGACUGCAGACAGGAUCCUAAAGAUGGUGGAAGGCUAACUACAAAAAGCGUGGAAACAGGCCUGCAGACCGAGCUAAGAAACCUUCAAGAAAUACAAAAACAACUCCCAACAAGCAUUGAGUGGCUUACCACAACCCUCAACAAGUAAGCCGUCCUUGGAUGGGUGUUCUCCAAAAGGACCAAAGUGGGUUAAACCCACAAUAAAAACGCCUGCGAUAGAGUCCACAUCCAAGGACAUGGCUGUGGUAUCCAUCAGAAGGCCCCGCGGUGUUUAAACCUCCAAUAAAAAGGCCCGCGUUAGCUCCCACCCGUCAGGACACCAGGGGAGGUCUAUAGUUUCCUCCCAAACAGGC